rnacentral:lncRNA from 1 species
UUUUUUUUUUUUUUUUCCAGGACUGUAGGAGCGGCAUAUGGAAGUUUCCAGGCUAGGGGUCGAAUCAGAGCUACAGCUGCCAGCCUACAUCACAACCACAGCAACACCAGAUCUGAGCCUUGUCUGUGACCUACAGAGCCGCUCACAGCAAGCCAGAUCCUUAACUGAGUGAGGCCAGGGAUCAAAUCUGAAUCCUCAUGGAUGCUAGUCAGGUUCAUUCCAACUGAGCCACAAUGGGAACUCCAAGAAGUCUUUUUGCAUCUGUUGGUUCUCAAUUGCCUUUGUCUCAAAAUAAUCCAUAUGCCAGUUGGCAUAUAUUUGAGGUGGUAUAUUCCUCUUUUUAAAAAAAAAUUUUGUGGGAGUUCCCGUUGUGGCGCAGUGGUUAGUGAAUCUGACUAGGAACCACGAGGUUGAGGGUUCGGUCCCUGCCCUUGCUCAGUGGGUUAACGAUCCGGCGUUGCCGUGAGCUGUGGUACAGGUUGCAGACUUGGCUUAGGUCUGGUGUUGCUGUGGCUGUGGUGUAGGCUGUCAGCUGUAACUCUGAUUUGACCCCUAGACUGUAAACUUCCAUACGCCAAAUGUGUGGCCCUAAAAAGCAAAAAAACCAAUUUUUUUUGGCCGCAGUGUGCAGCAGCUGUGGGAUCUCAGUUCCCAGACCAGGGACUGAACCUGGGCCAUAGUGGUAAAAGCACCAAGUCCUAACCAUUAGGCCACCAGAGAACUCUCUGGCCUGGUAUAUUCUAAUCCCCUUCAUAUUCGUUCACUUUCUUCUUUUGUUAAAUUUAUUUUUCUUUCUUUUUUUUGUCUUUUUAAGGCCGCACCCUCGACAUAGGGACGUUCCCAGGCUAGGGGUCUAACUGGAGCUACAGAGGCUGGUCUACACCACAGCCACAGCAACUCAGAAUCUGAGCUGCGUCUUCGACCUACACCACAGCUCAUGGCAACGCUGGACCCUUAACCCACUGAUCGCGACCAGCGAUCGAACCUGCAAACUCAUGGUUCCUAGUCAGAUUCAUUCCUGCUGUGACACAAUGGGAACUCCUGUUAAAUUCAUUUUUAAAAAACUUUUUUUGGAAUGUGGUUGACUUACAAUGCUGUAUUAGGUUCCAUUUCUUUCUUUUAAUUUGGCCACACCCUAGGCAUGUGGAAGUUCCCAGGCUAGGUAUCAAAGGCUUGCCACACAAGGGACCCAAGCUGCUGCAGUGACAACUCUGGAUCCUUAACUUGCUGAACCACAGAGAACUCCACUUUUAUUUCUUCUAUCAAAAUGUUAUUAUGGUCCUAGGACACAAAGAUUAAUAAGCUACAAAUCACAGCCUCAAGGAGCUCAUAGUCUUAAUGGGAAAACAAACAUAAACAAAUUACUUCAAUAUAAUAUGGUGAAUGUGGUAACUGAGUUGUUCAGAGGCUGCUUUGGGGACCCAGGUAGGGACAGAGACCUAAUCCGAUAUAUGCAGGUUGGAGGUGACAGAGUAAGGCUUCCCCCAGGAAAUAACGCUGGAGGGACUGGUCUGAAAACAUUCAUGGGAGAAAGGGCAUUCUAGGCGAAGCCGUAACAGGUACACUAAAGGAAGAGGAGGUCCAGCAGAUGCAGGAUGUUGACCACAGCUAGAACUCAGACCUGUGGGGAAUCGACAGGAAAUGAGACACAGGCAAGAUUGGAGCUCCUGUGGUGGCUCAGCAGGUUAAGAACCCAACACAGUGUCCAUGAGGAUGCGGGUUCUAUCCCUGGCCUUGCUCAGGGGGUUAAGGAUCCGGGGUUGCAGCAAGCUUCAUGUAGGUUGCAGAUGCAGCUUGGAUUCAGCAUUGCCAUGGCUGUGGCAUAGACCUCAGCUGCAGUUCCAAUUCGACCCCCUAGCCUGGGAACUUCCAUAUGCCGAAGGUGCGGCCAUAAAAAAAAAAAAAAGAAAAGGAAAAACAAACAAACAGGCAAGAGCCUGUUAACAGAAUCUUAAGGGCUCCUGCUAAAGGCUAUGAUUUUGACCCUGUAGGUCAUUGACUUCUUUUUUAUUUUUUAUUAUUUAUUCAUUUAUUGUCUUUUCUAGGGCCACUUUCUGUGGCAUAUGGAGGUUCUCAGGCUAGGGGUCUGAUCAGAGCUGUAGCUGCUGGCCUGCACCAGAGCCACAGCAACGCAGGAUCCAAGCCGCGUCUGCAACCUACACCACAGCUCACAGCAACGCCAGAUCCUUAACCCAUUGAGCAAGCCAGGGAUGGAACCUGCAACCCCAUGGCCACCAGUCAGAUUUGUUUCAGCCUUGCCACAAUGGGAAUUCCCCAGGGCAUAUGCUUUAAUGCACAUAUUUGUGUAGUGGUACAUAUAGACACUGUUUCUAUCUAGGUAAACCUGAAGGAGUCAGGCAUGGAUGCCCUUCUCCCCUCCCCACUGGACUGUAUGAUCAAAGAAAUGUGGAGACAUUGGCCAUUAAUGGGUGUUUGCAUGGUGGGAGUUAAAUG